rnacentral:rRNA from 1 species
UACGUAGGGGCCUAGCGUUGUCCGGAAUUAUUGGGCGUAAAGAGCUCGUAGGCGGUUCGGCAAGUCGGAUGUGAAAUCUCCACGCUUAACGUGGAGGGGCCAUUCGAAACUGCUGUGACUCGAGUCCGGUAGGGGAGUGUGGAAUUCCCGUGUAGCGGUGAAAUGCGCAGAUAUCGGGAGGAACACCAGUAGCGAAGGCGGCACUCUGGGCCGGUACUGACGCUGAGGAGCGAAAGCGUGGGGAGCGAACAGG